UCCCUCUCUAAUUCCUCAUCAAUUCUGUGACCGUUUCCUCUCUACUUUAACACGGAAAUUACUCAGUAUUUGAUGGAUAAUCCUUUCAGGAAAUUUAUAUUUCAUUUAGUUGUCUUAAUCUGCCCAACCAAAACGGCGCCCCGAAUGCCACCCGUCGGCAUACACCUCUCGAUCUGUCUCCUCAGUCCAUUUCAAUUCGAACCGAGGAGAGCACCGUGUGUCCCUUGUUCUUCUCCACCACUUUAGUUCAGAUAGCUUCUUGAGAGGAGCUCUGUAGAACCGAUCCUUCCCAUGCCAUUGUAAGCCUCAAACGCGAAUUCAUCGCUAGAUCAUGUCGCCCUUGGUGAUCAUCUCGUCUAUUCCCUCCACCAGAAUACUCCCCUCACCAAGGCCUUUCUCAAGGACAUGGUGUUGCAUCGUGUCGUUGUUGUUGGCCGCGACGUCUUCGGAGUUCAACGACCUGGACAUGGUCGUAGGCCAUAUUCGCGAUGUUGGUCGCACCGCCGAUGCCGCUCAAGUCAAGGAUCAACGCGGCCAGAGGAAACAACGAGUGCGCCAUCAUACCAACUCGACGUUUAGUACUGCUUCUGCCUUUCCAUCGAUCCCAGAGAACUCCCAACAUCGACUUCAUCCAGGGCCAAGCUCGUCGCCCGCCGCGCGAAACAUCUCCGGUGACGACUUCGUCAACUCCGGCGACGUCCGCGUCGCCAUCCACGCCGUUGCCAACGAGUUGCGCUGACACUUGUUUGUUGUACGGAGAGCUACGAGUUUUUGUUGAGAAAAGUGAAGAAUUCUUCAACUACUAAAAAGGCAAGUGACACACCAAUUCAUAAAUAUCCCAAUGUUUUACUAUGCAUUUAGUAUUUAUUUUAUUAGUAUGCAUGAGUAGGUUCUAUGCUUUUCUUUGUCCUAUUUAGGGUACCCCUGAUUUUCCUGUUAGAAGAAACAACGUAAGUGUAGAAUGCUUAGUCGUGCUGAAUAGAUACGUGGGAGGGAUCUCAUGAAUACAUGUGUGUGCGUUGGAAAAUUUAUGUUUUUGUGUGGUGAAAAACAACUAAGUUAAUGAACCACCUGGGCGGAUUGGUAAGAUCAGUCAGCGGAGUGCAGACAUAGGUGGGGAUUGCCGCCCAGGAACAAAGAAAUUGGAGAUGUUCAAUGUUGAGAAGC